GCUAAGUCCGGGCGAUAGGCGGCGGUAAUACGGAGGUGGCAAUGGUUAAUCGUAAUGACUGGGCGUAAAGCGCACGCAGGCGGUUUGAUAAGUUAGAUGUGAAAGCCCCGGGCUCAACCUGGGAAUUUCAUUUAAAACUGUCCAGCUAGAGUCUUGUAGAGGGGGGUAGAAUUCCAGGUGUAGCGGUGAAAUGCGUAGAGAUCUGGAGGAAUACCGGUGGCGAAGGCGGCCCCCUGGACAAAGACUGACGCUCAGGUGCGAAAGCGUGGGGAGCAAACAGGAUUAGAUACCCGGGUAGUC
rnacentral:rRNA from 1 species